GAUGAACGCUGGCGGCGUGCCUAAUACAUGCAAGUCGAGCGAACGGACGAGAAGCUUGCUUCUCUGAUGUUAGCGGCGGACGGGUGAGUAACACGUGGAUAACCUACCUAUAAGACUGGGAUAACUUCGGGAAACCGUAGCUAAUACCGGAUAAUAUUUUGAACCGCAUGGUUCAAAAGUGAAAGACGGUCUUGCUGUCACUUAUAGAUGGAUCCGCGCUGCAUUAGCUAGUUGGUAAGGUAACGGCUUACCAAGGCAACGAUGCAUAGCCGACCUGAGAGGGUGAUCGGCCACACGGGAGCGGGGACACGGUCAAGACUCCUACGGGAGGCAGCAGUAGGGAAUCUUCCGCAAUGGGCGAAAGCCUGACGGAGCAACGCCGCGUGAGUGAUGAAGGUCUUCGGAUCGUAAAACUCUGUUAUUAGGGAAGAACAUAUGUGUAAGUAACUGUGCACAUCUUGACGGUACCUAAUCAGAAAGCCACGGCUAACUACGUG
rnacentral:rRNA from 1 species